GAUGAACGCUAGCGGGAGGCUUAAUACAUGCAAGUCGAGCGGCAAGGUCUUCGGACCCUAGAGCGGCGCACGGGUGAGUAACGCGUACACAAUCUGCCCUUCAGUGAGGAAUAGCCCUGGGAAACUGGGAUUAAUACCUCAUAACAUUGUUUGAUCGCAUGGUCGGACAAUUAAAGUUCUGGCGCUGAAGGAUGAGCGUGCGUCUGAUUAGCUAGUUGGUAGGGUAACGGCCUACCAAGGCGACGAUCAGUAGGGGGCGUGAGAGCGUGACCCCCCACACGGGUACUGAGACACGGACCCGACUCCUACGGGAGGCAGCAGUAAGGAAUAUUGGGCAAUGGAGGCAACUCUGACCCAGCCAUCCCGCGUGAAGGAUUAAGGCCCUAUGGGUUGUAAACUUCUUUUGUUUGGGAAGAAAUCAGGACAUUUAUGUGCUGUUGACGGUACCUUACGAAUAAGCACCGGCUAACUCCGUGCCAGCCGCCGCCGUAAAAC
rnacentral:rRNA from 1 species